CAUCACCACCCUUAUUUUAUCAAUAAAGGGCGUACAUUUUGUAUGGCCUCAAGAGUUUAUCUUCCCUGCACUUUCUGAUGCUCAGAUUUUAGACUUUGAAAAAAAUGAAGCCUUGGAGGCACCUUCCUGAAGUGUCCACACUGGCACCUGCUGUCAAAUGAAUGGAGCAAAGUGAAAACCCUUCUGGGUUUUUCCCAACCUCGAGCAAAAGGGGAGGGAGCCCAAAAGAGACUGAGCCAGAGAGAAUAAUGAACAGUGAACAUGGAACCUGGUAGUUCGAUGAGUGCAGAUGAUGAAUGACCACGGGGAGGGAG